ACGUCCCGCCUCGUGAUCGUCUUCUCACCCUUCACGGCGGCGGGCGGAAAGAAGGAGACCCCCGCGAGGACGUGACUCGCGGGGGUCUUCC
rnacentral:ncRNA from 1 species